GACGAACGCUGGCGGCGUGCUUAACACAUGCAAGUCGAACGGAAAGGCCCUGCUCUUGUGGGGUGCUCGAGUGGCGAACGGGUGAGUAACACGUGAGUAACCUGCCCUUGACUUUGGGAUAACUUCAGGAAACUGGGGCUAAUACCGGAUAGGAGCUCCUGCUGCACGGUGGGGGUUGGAAAGUUUCGGCGGUUGGGGAUGGACUCGCGGCUUAUCAGCUUGUUGGUGGGGUAGUGGCUUACCAAGGCUUUGACGGGUAGCCGGCCUGAGAGGGUGACCGGCCACAUUGGGACUGAGGUACGGCCCAGCCUCCUACGGGAGGCAGCAGUGGGGAAUAUUGCCCAAUGGGCGGAAGCCUGAUGCCGCACCGCCGCGUGCGGGAUGACGGCCUUCGGGUUGUAAACCGCUUUCGCCUGUGACGAAGCGUGAGUGACGGUAAUGGGUAAAGAAGCACCGGCUAACUACGUG
rnacentral:rRNA from 1 species